CAAGUAGAGUGAUCGAAAGAUGAAAAGCACUUUGGAAAAGAGAGUUAAACAGUAUGUGAAAUUGUUGAAAGGGAAGCGCUUGUAAUCAGACUUGUGUGUAAGAGUUCAGCCUGGCUUCUGUCUGGUGUACUCUCUUAUAUACAGGCUAGCAUCAGUUUGGGUGGUAGGAGAAAGAUGUCAGGAAUGUAGCCUCUUUUCUUCGGGACUGAGGUGUUAUAGCUUGGCGUGUCAUACUACCAACCUAGASUGAGGAACGCACUUUAUUGUACGGA
rnacentral:rRNA from 1 species